UGGGUAUUUAGGUUGAUUCCGUGUCUUUGAUAUUAUUGUGAAUAAUGCUUCAGUGAACAUAUACGUGCAUGAGAACUUGAUUCCUUUUGAGGUGACUUUUGAAUGAUUUCCUUAUCUUUGUGUUCCGGAUUGAAAAUGCUGAAGGCUUUUAGAGUGAUAAUUUCUAUUAAUCUCAUUCUAGCAAAUUAAACUGCUACAAGAUGUAGAGGAGUAGGCUGGGCGUGGUGGCACAUGCUUGUAAUCCCAG